rnacentral:rRNA from 1 species
AGAGAAUAGAUACCCUGGUAGUCCACGCUGUAAACGAUGGAUGCUAGCCGUUGGCGGGUUUACCCGUCAGUGGCGCAGCUAACGCAUUAAGCAUCCCGCCUGGGGAGUACGGUCGCAAGAUUAAAACUCAAAGGAAUUGACGGGGGCCCGCACAAGCGGUGGAGCAUGUGGUUCAAUUCGAAGCAACGCGCAGAACCUUACCAGCCCUUGACAUGUCCCGUAUGGGUUUCAGAGAUGAGACCCUUCAGUUCGGCUGGCGGGAACACAGGUGCUGCAUGGCUGUCGUCAGCCUCGUGUCGUGAGA